GGGUGUAUUCAAUUUGGAUUUAUACAAACUUUUUAAAAGUCUAUAACAGUUUGGGUGUAUUCAAUCUAGAUUUGUUUGAACUUUUAAAAUGUCCAUCUAAAUGUGGGUGUAUUCAAUUAGGACUUGGAAAAAGUCCGAAUAAAUUUACCUGUAUUCAAAAGGAGAUAGAUUUGUAAGGAUUUAAUUAAGUGUUGGAGUUUGGAGAACUUGUAGGGUUUAGGUAUAAAUAAUAAAGGCCAACAUAAGUCCAACGUCCACCCCAAAGAUUUCAUAUGACUUGUUUUUUUUCCCUCUCUGUUUAGAAAUUUUUCCAUCGUUUGGCAAACAAUGCACUAAGCCAUGCACUAACCUUGGGUGGUUACAAGCGUCCUAUAUUAAGGAAAGCUCCUCAAUUAGCGAUUUCUUCAAAUCAACCAGUUGGAGUUUCUAGGAGGAAAGCUCAGCUAGAGAUUUCUCGAUCUCCUAUAAGUUCCCUUGGAGAUAAUCUCGGCAUGAAGCCAAUGUCAAGGCGGCAGAAGGUUGAGAUAUAUUUC
rnacentral:lncRNA from 1 species